GACAGAGGCCUCGAGCGUUAGGCGGAAUCACUGGGCUUAAAGCGUGUGUAGGCGGAUCGUUAAGUACCUUGUGAAAUCCCACGGCUCAACCGUGGAACGGCUGGGUAUACUGGCGGUCUUGGGCCAUUCAGGGGCGACUGGAACAAGCGGUGGAGCGGUGAAAUGCGUAGAUAUCGAGAGGAACACCUGCGGCGAAGGCGGGUUGCUGGGCUGACACUGACGCUGAUGCGCGAAAGCUAGGGGAGCGAACGGG
rnacentral:rRNA from 1 species